rnacentral:rRNA from 1 species
AUCGAACGCUGGCGGCAGGCCUAACACAUGCAAGUCGAGCGAGCGGCGGACGGGUGAGUAAUGUAUGGGGACUGCCCGACCGAGGGGGAUAAGUACUGUAAACGGUGGCUAAUACCGCAUACUACCGGUUAACCCAUAUGGGAUUAGCUAGUAGGUGGGGUAAAGGCUGACCUAGGCGACGAGCGCUAGCUGGUCUGAGAGGGUGAUCAGCCACACUGGGACUGAGACACGGCCCAGACUCCUACGGAGGCAGCAGUGGGGAAUAUUGGACAAUGGGCGCAAGCCUGAUGCAGCCAUGCCGCGUGUAUGAAGAAGGCCUUAGGGUUGUAAAGUACUUUCGGCGGGGAGGCGUUACCCGCAGAAGAAGCACCGGCUAACUCCGUGCCAGCAGCCGCGGUAAUAC